CCUACGGGGUGCAGCAGUGAAGAAUAUUGGUCAAUGGACGAGAGUCUGAACCAGCCAAGUAGCGUGAAGGAUGACUGCCCUAUGGGUUGUAAACUUCUUUUAUAUGGGAAUAAAAUGUUCCACGUGUGGGAUUUUGUAUGUACCAUAUGAAUAAGGAUCGGCUAACUCCGUGCCAGCAGCCGCGGUAAUACGGAGGAGCCGAGCGUUAUCCGGAUUUAUUGGGUUUAAAGGGAGCGUAGGUGGAUUGUUAAGUCAGUUGUGAAAGUUUGCGGCUCAACCGUAAAAUUGCAGUUGAAACUGGCAGUCUUGAGUACAGGAGAGGUGGGCGGAAUUCGUGGUGUAGCGGUGAAAUGCUUAGAUAUCACGAAGAACACCGAUUGCGAAGGCAGUUCACUGGACUGCAACUGACACUGAGGCUCGAAAGUGUGGGUAUCAAACAGGAUUAGAUACCCUUGUAGUC
rnacentral:rRNA from 1 species